UUCUCGGCCUUUUGGCUAAGAUCAAGUGUAGUAUCUGUUCUUAUCAGUUUAAUAUCUGAUACGUCCUCUAUCCGAGGACAAUAUAUUAAAUGGAUUUCUGGAGCAGGGAGAUGGAAUAGGAGCUUGCUCCGUCCACUCCACGCAUCGACCCGGUAUUGCAGUACUUCCGGGAACGGUGCACCUCCCACUGGGAGAAAAAUGGUGUUCACGAAAAACAGACCUCGGGAGCUCUGCGGAGUAACCGUCUGCAAGACGUAGGAAAAUUGGCUUCAUUUCCAUGGUAGGAGGUGAUCAAGAGUAAG